rnacentral:tRNA from 1 species
GGGCGAUUAGCUCAGCUGGUUAGAGUGCCGGUUUCACAUACCGGAGGUCGGCAGUUCAAGUCUGCCAUCGCCCACCA